CUGAGCAUCACUAUAACAGAUCCACUCAGUGCAAACAGGACAACUACAAAAUGGCUACACUUGACCCAUGAGACCAAUGGGAGAAAAGGGAAAGCCAGUGUGUUAACCCAACAACACGACAAAUGUGAAGCAGAAGUCUAAAGGAUCAGAGCUUCCACCAAUCUCCCAAACCCACAAUUACAGAGGCCACUGCCGAAGAAGGGCUCAGCGCACUGGAGGAGAAUGAGGAAGACCUUUUUGUGAUUGACUCAAUGGUUCCUUUAAGAAGCAACAUAUGUGCAAAACAGUCCCACUCCUCCUCCUUGUCAUCUGCCAUUGUGACAGAACAGUUUCAAACAGACAGGGAACAAACUCAAUCCAUUCC
ensembl:lncRNA